rnacentral:rRNA from 1 species
AACCUCCGCAAUGUGAGAAAUCGCGACGGGGGGAUCCCAAGUGCCAUUCUUAACGGGAUGGCUUUUCAUUAGUGUAAAGAGCUUUUGGAAUAAGGGCUGGGCAAGACCGGUGCCAGCCGCCGCGGUAACACCGGCAGCUCUAGUGGUAGCAGUUUUUAUUGGGCCUAAAGCGUCCGUAGCCGGUUUAAUAAGUCUCUGGUGAAAUCCUGUAGCUUAACUGUGGGAAUUGCUGGAGAUACUAUUAGACUUGAGACCGGGAGAGGUUAGAGGUACUCCCAGGGUAGAGGUGAAAUUCUGUAAUCCUGGGAGGACCGCCUGUUGCGAAGGCGUCUAACUGGAACGGUUCUGACGGUGAGGGACGAAAGUUAGGGGCGCGAACCGGAUUAGAUACCCGGGUAGUCCUAACCGUAAACGAUGCGGACUUGGUGUUGGGGUGGCUUUGAGCUGCUCCAGUGCCGAAGGGAAGCUGUAAGUCCGCCGCCUGGGAAGUACGGUCGCAAGACUAAAACUUAAAGGAAUU